UACGGAGGGUGCAAGCGUUAUCCGGAAUCACUGGGUUUAAAGGGUGCGUAGGCGGCUUGGUAAGUCAGAGCUGAAAGCCCGCAGCUUAACUGCGGAACUGCCUUUGAUACUGCCGAGCUUGAAAGAGGUUGAGGUCAGCGGAACGUGACAUGUAGCGGUUAAAUGCAUAGAUAUGUCACAGAACACCAAUUGCGAAGGCAGCUGGCUGGGCCUACUUUGACGCUGAGGCACGAAAGCGUGGGGAGCGAACAGG
rnacentral:rRNA from 1 species